rnacentral:lncRNA from 1 species
GAGAAGUCAGGCCAGAUUAAGCC